rnacentral:rRNA from 1 species
GCUUCACACAUGCCAGUCUGCAGAUGGUACAGAGGGUAGCUUGCUUACUUGCCUGACGACCGGCGCACGGCGUGCUGANAACGUCGUUAUACAAUCUACCUUUUGCUGUAGGAAUAGCCCAGCAGCAAAUUUGGAUUAAUGCCUCAUGGUAUUAUAGGGUGGCAUCACUUUAUAAUUAAAGGUUACGGCAAAAGAUGAGUAUGCGUUCUAUUAGCUAGAUGGUGUGGUAACGGCACACCNUGGCAACCAUAGAUAGGGGCCCUGAGAGGGGGAUCCCCCACACUGGUACUGAGCCAG